rnacentral:tRNA from 1 species
GUGGCUGUAGUAUAGUGGUUAGUACCCCACGUUGUGGCCGUGGAGACCUGGGUUCAAUUCUCAGCAGCCACA